AUUGAACGCUGGCGGCAGGCCUAACACAUGCAAGUCGAGUGAUUUUGGCUUCGGUCAGAAGAGCGGCGAACGGGUGAGUAACACGUAGGAAUCUGCCUGGUAGUGGGGGACAACGUCUCGAAAGGGACGCUAAUACCGCAUACGCCCUACGGGGGAAAGCUGGGGACCUUCUGGCCUAGCGCUAUCAGAUGAGCCUGCGUCGGAUUAGCUAGUUGGUAGGGAAAAAGCCUACCAAGGCGACGAUCCGUAACUGGUCUGAGAGGAGGAACAGUCAAACAGGAACUGAGACGGGGUCCGGACUCCUACGGGAGGCAGCAUGGGGGAAUAUUGGACAAUGGGGGCAACCCUGGUCCGGCCAUGCCGCGUGUGUGAAGAAGGCCUUCGGGUUGUAAAGCACUUUAGGUCGGGAGGAGGCUACUGAGACUAAUACUCUUGGAUAGUGGACGUUACUCGCAGAAUAAGCACCGGCUAACUCUGUGCCAGCAGCCGCCGUAACAC
rnacentral:rRNA from 1 species